rnacentral:rRNA from 1 species
GAUGAACGCUGGCGGCGUGCCUAAUACAUGCAAGUCGAGCGAACAGACGAGGAGCUUGCUCCUCUGACGUUAGCGGCGGACGGGUGAGUAACACGUGGAUAACCUACCUAUAAGACUGGGAUAACUUCGGGAAACCGGAGCUAAUCCCGGAUAAUAUAUUGAACCGCAUGGUUCAAUAGUGAAAGACGGUUUUGCUGUCACUUAUAGAUGGAUCUGCGCCGCAUUAGCUAGUUGGUAAGGUAACGGCUUACCAAGGCAACGAUGCGUAGCCGACCUGAGAGGGUGAUCGGCCACACGGGAGCUGAGACACGGUCCAGACUCCUACGGGAGGCAGCAGUAGGGAAUCUUCCGCAAUGGGCGAAAGCCUGACGGAGCAACGCCGCGUGAGUGAUGAAGAUCUUCGGAUCGUAAAACUCUGUUAUUAGGGAAGAACAAAUGUGUAAGUAACUAUGCACGUCUUGACGGUACCUAAUCAGAAAGCCACGGCUAACUACGUG